GGGGAAUAUUGCACAAUGGGGGAAACCCUGAUGCAGCGACGCCGCGUGAGCGAAGAAGUAUUUCGGUAUGUAAAGCUCUAUCAGCAGGGAAGAAAAUGACGGUACCUGACUAAGAAGCCCCGGCUAACUACGUGCCAGCAGCCGCGGUAAUACGUAGGGGGCAAGCGUUAUCCGGAUUUACUGGGUGUAAAGGGAGCGUAGACGGAGCAGCAAGUCUGAUGUGAAAACCCGGGGCUCAACCCCGGGACUGCAUUGGAAACUGUUGAUCUGGAGUGCCGGAGAGGUAAGCGGAAUUCCUAGUGUAGCGGUGAAAUGCGUAGAUAUUAGGAGGAACACCAGUGGCGAAGGCGGCUUACUGGACGGUAACUGACGUUGAGGCUCGAAAGCGUGGGGAGCAAAC
rnacentral:rRNA from 1 species